AAAACAUCGCCUCUUGACUAAAAAUAAGAGGUCCAGCCUGCCCAGUGACAUAUGUUCAACGGCCGCGGUAUCCUAACCGUGCGAAGGUAGCGUAAUCACUUGUUCUUUAAAUGAGGACCAGUAUGAAUGGCAUCACGAGGGUUACACUGUCUCCUUUUUCUAAUCAGUGAAACUAAUCUCCCCGUGAAGAAGCGGGGAUAAAACUAUAAGACGAGAAGACCCUAUGGAGCUUUAAAUUCUCACUCAAAUGCUUAUUACUCUUCAAACUUCUUAGUAUUAAAAUUAUUUUAGCAUUAUGAGACGGAAUUUUAGGUUGGGGUGACCGCGGAGUACAAAAUAACCUCCACAUUGAAAUGGGCUUAUGCCCUUAACAACGGACUACAACCCUAUGUAUUAAAAAAUUGACAUCCCUUGACCCAAAUUUUUGAUCAACGAACCAAGUUACCCUAGGGAUAACAGCGCAAUCCUCUUCAAGAGCCCCUAUCGCCAAGAGGGUUUACGACCUCGAUGUUGGAUCAGGGUAUCCCAGUGGUGCAGCCGCUACUAAUGGUUCGUUUGUUCAACGAUUAAAACCCUACG
rnacentral:rRNA from 1 species